rnacentral:lncRNA from 1 species
CGCGCCCGCAGGCGAGGCGAGCGCGCCCCUCGGGCUGCCAGAGGGCGGGGUCGGGCGGCCCCGCCCCUCCCAUCAGGCCCCGCCCCGUCCCUGGCGGCGCCGCAUCGAGGCGGCCAUUUUGUGGCGCGGGGCGGUCGGCGGCGCUGGGCUCGGCGCGGAGCGGGGCCCGGGGCGGGUCGGCUCCGGUCUCACCCUUUUCCCGUGCGGAUCCCUCGCUUACUCCUUAUCACCUUCAUACUUCCGUUCCUUGCUUGCCUACAGGUUUGACUUCUUGUGCUUCCUGUAGGAAAAGCCUUUUUUCAGGUAGACUUCUUAUAAGAGUCAGAAGUCGAAGUCCAGUUACUGCUGCAGGUACUGUUACCAGAUUGUUUUCGUACUUUCCAUUUUUCCUCUAAUAGCUAAAAUGUAUGUUGAUGCUCACUGAUAGGAGAAAACUUAGGUUCAGCAAUCUGCUGUAAGUGUAUAGUGUGCUGGUGGAACACCCAGAGCAACCUUCAACCUGGGGCAGGACAUCUGGUCAAAACGGAGGAAUUAAUUGGUCAGCUUACUGACCAACGUUUAGCC